CCCGAGGCUUGUCCAAGGGCAUUUCCGCUAGAGCGUCACC
rnacentral:rRNA from 1 species